UACGAAGGGUGCAAGCGUUACUCGGAAUUACUGGGCGUAAAGCGUGCGUAGGCGGUUUGUUAAGUCUGUCGUGAAAGCCCUGGGCUCAACCUGGGAAUUGCGAUGGAUACUGGCAAGCUAGAGUACGGUAGAGGAUGGUGGAAUUCCCGGUGUAGCGGUGAAAUGCGUAGAGAUCGGGAGGAACACCCGUGGCGAAAGCGGCUCACUGGACCACAACUGACGCUGAGGCGCGAAAAGCUAGGGG
rnacentral:rRNA from 1 species